rnacentral:rRNA from 1 species
GACGAACGCUGGCGGCGUGCUUAACACAUGCAAGUCGAACGGAAAGGCCCUGCUUUUGUGGGGUGCUCGAGUGGCGAACGGGUGAGUAACACGUGAGUAACCUGCCCUUGACUUUGGGAUAACUUCAGGAAACUGGGGCUAAUACCGGAUAGGAGCUCCUGCUGCAUGGUGGGGGUUGGAAAGUUUCGGCGGUUGGGGAUGGACUCGCGGCUUAUCAGCUUGUUGGUGGGGUAGUGGCUUACCAAGGCUUUGACGGGUAGCCGGCCUGAGAGGGUGACCGGCCACAUUGGGACUGAGAUACGGCCCAGACUCCUACGGGAGGCAGCAGUGGGGAAUAUUGCACAAUGGGCGGAAGCCGGAUGCAGCAACGCCGCAUGCGGGAUGACGGCCUUCGGGUUGUAAACCGCUUUCGCCUGUGACGAAGCGUGAGUGACGGGAAUGGGUAAAGAAGCACCGGCUAACUACGU